rnacentral:rRNA from 1 species
AUUGAACGCUGGCGGCAUGCCUUACACAUGCAAGUCGGACGAGUGGCGGACGGGUGAGUAAUGUCUCGGAAACUGCCUGGUGGUGGGGGAUAACUGUUGGAAACGGUAGCUAAUACCGCAUACCAUCCGAUGUGCCGAUAUGGGAUUAGCUGGUUGGUGGGGUAACGGCUCACCAAGGCGACGAUCCGUAGCGGGUCUGAGAGGAUGACCCGCCAAACUGGAACUGAGACACGUCCCAGACCCCUACGGGAGGCAGCAUGGGGGAAUUUUGGACAAGGGGCGCAAGCCUGAUCCAGCCAGGCGGCGUGUAUGAGGAAGGCCUUCGGUUUGUAAAGGACUUUAGUCAGGGAAGCGGUACCUGAAGAAUAAGCACCGGCUAACUACGUGCCAGCCGCCGCGGUAAUUC